rnacentral:rRNA from 1 species
CCUACGGGAGGCAGCAGUAGGGAAUCUUCCGCAAUGGACGAAAGUCUGACGGAGCAACGCCGCGUGAACGAUGAAGGCCUUCGGGUCGUAAAGCUCUGUUGUUAGGGAAGAACAAGUGCUAGUUGAAUAAGCUGGCACCUUGACGGUACCUAACCAGAAAGCCACGGCUAACUACGUGCCAGCAGCCGCGGUAAUACGUAGGUGGCAAGCGUUGUCCGGAAUUAUUGGGCGUAAAGCGCGCGCAGGCGGUUUCUUAAGUCUGAUGUGAAAGCCCCCGGCUCAACCGGGAGGGUCAUUGGAAACUGGGAAACUUGAGUGCAGAAGAGGAAAGUGGGAAUUCCAAGUGUAGCGGUGAAAUGCGUAGAGAUUUGGAGGAACACCAGUGGCGAAGGCGACUUUCNGGUCUGUAACUGACGCUGAGGCGCGAAAGCGUGGGAGCAAACAGGAUUAGAUACCCUGGUAGUCCACGCUGUAAACGAUGAGUAGCUAGUAGUUAGUAGGUUCCGGUACCGUUACGUUGUCGUGUAAGUUAACGUACGUAUUAAGUACGUACGUACCGCCGUCGGGGUAGGUACGGUCGGCGAACGACGUAAGUAAACGUACGUUAAAGAAGUAAGUUAGGACGUGNGAGNGCGACGACGACGACGACGGAGGAGGAG